rnacentral:sRNA from 1 species
AAAGAUUAUUUACCAGCUUUCUAAAGGAUUACAGUGCAUGUAAUUGUUGUGUAUAAGAAAUAGAAAAUUAUUUCAUGCCAAUUUAAUGGUUGGAUACAAUGGAUUUAGAUCAUAGUUACAGAGGGAAUCUAUCUUCGUUCUAACCUGCUGUUUUCCACUAAUGAGGAAAAAUAUCGAACUUUGCAGUUGGAGAUGUUAAGAGAUGAAUGAGCUAUUUUGAGGGAGACUAGAGUAAGAAGUUUAUUUACAGCAGUUUAUGAUCACUUACUUGUGAAAGAUUCCAUGGUGAAAUUCAUCUCCAAUGAAUUUAUCUUCCUGUUCAUGAUGGUCAUUGUUCAUCCAGGAUACUAGAUGCUUUAGUCAUCCAUAAUUAAUAGAUACUGGAGAUUUCUGGUUGCUAUCAGCUGUAAAAUAUUGAUGUGUAUUUAUGGGGUUAUGAAGGGAGACCAAAAACAUACAUGCUACGUACAUCAGGGAGUCAAAGUGGGAAAAUAUCUGUAAAAAAUUCCAAUCUCAAGAAAAGUAAGGAUAUGAUCUCAAGAAAAGUAAGCAUACCAAUUGUCAAAUCAACAUGGAAGCAUACCAAUUGUCAAAUCAACAUGGAGAAGCAUACCAAUUGUCAAAUCAACGUUGAAGUGCAUGUUCAAAUAUGUGCCCCCUCCAACCGAUCAGAAGAGGGCCAAAUCUAUAAUUGAAAUUAAUAAAAACCUGGGUAUUUUAUAGGAGCCAUAGGACAACAGUUUAAAAAUGUAGUUCUUAGAAUGACUGGAUUUUGUGAAAGAACUAAAUUAUUGCUGCAUGUGUUUUCCUGUUUUAAACAGCCCUCACCUUGUUAAAUACUACAUUCAUAACAGGUUGUGUUUCACAACAGCUGUCUCCUUCUGGAAUUUCUUAUCAUGUUUUACUUUCUUAGCUCUUUUAUUCACUUACAAUGAAUUAAACAGUGUGUAUAUCAGUAUUUACCCAAAUAGAAAUUGAUGCUUGUCCACUUGCAUGUGGUGUAACCCAUUAUGGUAUAUAUAUCGUGUUCCUAUUCAUGUAUUUGUACUAAUUAUCUUUUUUAUGAAUGUAUGUCAAGUGCUAUGUUAUUAAAUCAAGUAGUUUAACU